rnacentral:rRNA from 1 species
CCUACGGGAGGCAGCAGUGGGGAAUUUUGGACAAUGGACGAAAGUCUGAUCCAGCAAUGCCGCGUGCAGGACGAAGGCCUUCGGGUUGUAAACUGCUUUUGUACGGAACGAAAAGGUCUGCCUUAAUACGGUGGGCUCAUGACGGUACCGUAAGAAUAAGCACCGGCUAACUACGUGCCAGCAGCCGCGGUAAUACGUAGGGUGCAAGCGUUAAUCGGAAUUACUGGGCGUAAAGCGUGCGCAGGCGGUUAUAUAAGACAGAUGUGAAAUCCCCGGGCUCAACCUGGGACCUGCAUUUGUGACUGUAUAGCUAGAGUACGGUAGAGGGGGAUGGAAUUCCGCGUGUAGCAGUGAAAUGCGUAGAUAUGCGGAGGAACACCGAUGGCGAAGGCAAUCCCCUGGACCUGUACUGACGCUCAUGCACGAAAGCGUGGGGAGCAAACAGGAUUAGAUACCCUGGUAGUCCACGCCCUAAACGAUGUCAACUGGUUGUUGGGUCUUCACUGACUCAGUAACGAAGCUAACGCGUGAAGUUGACCGCCUGGGGAGUCGGCCGCAAGGUUGAAACUUAAGGAAUUGACGGCUGAGACGNGCGAGACGACGACGAGGGAGAGG